GUUGCCGCCAGUCCCCGAGUCCUCCCCGAGCUGUGCUGUCAUGGCCGCCUCAGCUGCCUCAGUGUCCUGAAUCAACUGCAAAUGCUGACCUUUCCUGAUCAUUUCGACUUUGGGGAGAGCCAGAGGUCACACGGUGCCAGAUCUAGUCAAGAAGGUGGUUGUGGAUGCACUGUGAGGUUUUCACAAGAAUGAUUUUCUGCCGGGUGGCAUUGGGCAGUGGAAUGCAUGGGAGCUUUGGCUACACCUUGUGAAGAUACUCAUGGAAAGGAUUUUCCAGAACUGCUGCAGAAAGUGCCAAGAAGGGUGGGGCACACAACCUGCACUGUAAUCGGCUGAUUAAGCCCUAACCAGUAGGCUGUGAGGGGAAGUUGUACGUGUUGCUGGGCUGAGGCUUCUAAGCAGUGUCGCCCUCUGGGUCUGCAGGCGGAACACAGAAGACUGGAGCCAGGGGCGCAUAGGAGAAGCUCGGGGGUUCUGAGACCUGGGUGGCCUGUGCACCAACCUCACUACCUUUUGGACUUCAAGGGUGCAAGGCCUGGAACAAGAUGCUAUUCUUUGGAGAGUGAAAACUGUGAGAAAGUCAGGUAAUGUUUCUGUUUGAUGUUUUUGGCAGCGCUGAUGAAAAUUCUAGACUGAAAUGAUACUGUAUGAAGUCUGGACCAACUGCCAUGUUCAAGUGGAAUGGAUUUCCUCUCUUUUCGCUGUCUGGAUCAAUUUUUGGAGGCGUUAGGGAGCUUGGGCUCUCGGUUGAAGAAACACAUUGUACUGAUAACAUGUGAAAGUACAGUCUGAUUGGACUUGCCAGGCUUUCCAACUUACCGCUAAUGUGAGCAUUAAGAGGGCUUUUGCAAAAUAAAUAGAGCUUGCUGAGGUUAGUUAAGAAAGGUUCCAGAUUCCAUUCAGCAAAAGUGGAAUGUUUAAUACUUUACUAUAAAAAAUAAAAUAAAAAUAAAAAACCUCCUU
rnacentral:lncRNA from 1 species